rfam:Myotis davidii contig99948, whole genome shotgun sequence.
AAGACACUCUUAUGAGGCAGGACUUUCUUUAGUGGGACUAUGGCACUCACUGAGUCUGCCUCCUGUGUGUGUCUUA